UAUGCUAGGUGUCCGAGCUUCAUGUAAACCAUCAUGUAAACCACCUGGUUAAAAAACCAGGCUCUGGCUUUAAAUUCUGAUGUUUUCAAGGAUUUUAAGCCCCCAGUGUUUCCUCUUCAUAUACUAAGUUCUCCAGUCUGCAUUUUAAUUAAAAUGGUAAUUUCUAUUAAAAACAAAACCAGCCUCCGAUUGAGGCCAAAUGUAAACAUGGCCCCGUGUGCCCUAUAUGGUGGACCCUGUCACUUCCUCACUGCCCUUUCCCACCCACUCCCCUUCCCUUCUAACAGAACCCAAUUUUUUUGCAGGUGGCGACUGGAGAUACUCUAAUCUCAAGAAAGAUAGGACCUUCCACUAGCUCCUGAGGAAAGUCACGAUUGGUUUAAAUCCAACUCGGGAUUCUUGGUACGGAGCUUUGCUCUUGCUCAGUGAAGUUCCAGACUAACCUUGGGGGCACUGCCCUGGAUUUACUGGGAUUUCUUCAGUUGCAAGUUAAACCCACUCCAAACUAGCUCAGUUUAAAAGAGAAUUUAUUGACUCACAAAACUGAAAAAGCCCAAGUUGCGUCUGGCUCCAGGCAAAGCUGGAUUCCAGGACUCUGACCCCUUUCCCCUCUACAUGGCCUUGCUGUUUCUCCUUGGGACAGUCCCUGGCCUCUCCGGGCUUCGAGUCCAACCUGCACAAGGAGAGAAGACAGGAGAAGAUGACUCAGGGGUCUUUCCAGGUCAGAUGCCCUGGGUUCCACUAUUUUAUCAUUUUUAAGUCCUGGGAAGAAUUCCAAUGUAAAUAUCACCAGUGAUGGAAAUCUGAGGGAAGGAGAGGAGGAUGAAAGACUAAUUGAGGCCCAGAAGAGUGUCAGUUCCUCAUUAACUGCGGAGCCAUGGAAAAUUCUUUGUUCCUGCCUGUUGGCUUCUUGCCUUCAGGAUCUGGGUGGGUAUUGCCCUUGGCCAGCUUCCUGGUCAGGUCACAGACAGUUUGACCAGAGAGGGAGUGUCCUGGGGAAGAUAGGGCAGAACCAGGCUGGGUCCUUGGAAGUGGACACAAGUAAAAGAUGGGUUCUGAGGAUCUACGGCCCAGUAGGCCCAUGCUGGCCACUGUAGAUACACCAGCUCACUUAGCACUUAGAAUGACCUGUGGGUUUAGGUCUACUAUGUUGUCCAUUUUACAGAUGAGAAAACUGGGGCUCAGAGAGGUGAAGUCACUUGUCCCAGGUCACACAGCAGAGCUGAGAUUAAAAACUAAAGCGUAUGGUCUCCUCAGGUGGGGUUCUUUCCCCAGUCAAUGGUGACUGCGAUCCCAGGGACCUUGGAGUGGAUGCUGAUGGCACGUUGGGGACCCUGGUCCCUCCUCAGAGCUUUCACCAGGUUGUAUAACUCAGUGGUCAUGAGCAGGGGCUUUGAGUCAGAGCCAACUUAGGAAACUAGCCCUGCAUUGCCUAGGGACCCAGCACAAGCAGAAUAGCACAGUGGUUAAAAGCCUGGGCUCUGAGGCCAAAUGGCCCGGGUUCAAAGCUCUGCUCUCCUAUGUAUCAACUGUGUGGCUCUUACCUCAUUGGGCAGCUCUAUAAAGCAGGGGUGUAAAGAACCUCCUCUAAAGUGUAAGGGGUGUAAGGAC